rnacentral:lncRNA from 1 species
UUGAAGCGGAGUUGCUAAAUGAAGAAAUGUAAGAAGAAGUGGUGGUGGAAGACGACGGUUUCGUUGUUGCACUAGGGUUGCUCACGCGCGCUUGCCGCGCGGCGCUGGCAGAUGAUGGUGACGCCGUCGCCGAGGUCAUAGUUGAAACAGAUUUUGAAGCUUCGGAGGCAAGGUUCGGCGUGCUAAUUGUCCGAGGGAAGGAAGCGUCAUCGAAUAGGGCUCCCUGAGAUUUGGCUGGCAUUUGCAAGUCGCUGUGUGCGUGGCGCAAGUCAUUUAAUGUCGUCGCCCCCACCGCGCCGCUGUUUUGGACUGCCCACGCAGAUGCAAAAGGACAGCUUGACAUUGCGUUGUGCUACCUCUGCUUCCUAUCUGUGUUGGAGCGGACGUUUUACAACUGGCUUCAAUAGUUUGUAAAACUUGCAGUGAUGCCUCCACAGGUAGGGCACCUACAACUCUUUUUAUUCUACCUCAUAAGUAUGUAUCCCAUCGUGCAACAGGUCAGGCUCCACGCACGCAAAGGUCAAUUGGUCCUUAAUGGAAAGGGCAACAUCCGUUGACUGAGUUCAGGCAACCCCCAAGAGUCAGCAUAUAAUUAUAAUUUAUUCUUUUGUGGCUGUGACAACUGCUGGCGGAAAAGUUGACGGUGCCAUAUGGUCCUUCCUCUUUUUGGCCCCAACUGCUUUGUUGGGGCCAUAGUAGACCUAUCCUUGGUGUAGAUAUGUAGGCUACCCUACCCAACAGGAACACUGCAUGCCAGUGUUUACAAUUUUUCACAACAUAAGGAAAGCACAUGGUUUCUAUUUCCGAUGCAAAAGCCCCGGCCGUCGAAGCAUCCUGGCAGCUAGCUGUGAGGAUCCGAAGUGUUUUUGCAGUACUUACGAUCUUUCUCGUCUGUGUAUUUUACAUGCCCUAGCGCGCUUCCCGCGUCAAUUUGGACGGGUCAUCCGUUCCUGCAAGUACGCAUCUUCAUGUGGCCUCCUCUGUCAACUGUUUUUUUUUGCGUGAACCACUGGGUGAUAGUGGAGCAUCAUCAAAAAUCAACUUCCCCACCCUCGUGCUUUGCUGGUGUGAGUCCUGGAUUUGGGACAAAAACGAUCAUGGCAUGGCGGUCACCCAGGGUUGCGAGGUCGGAGCUGGACAGUGGGCGCGCAAGCAGCCCCUGCAACCAACAGUCAUGAAAACAUAUUAACUCCCAGUCUAAGAACUAGGAAGCACAGGGACACAUACUACACGGCAAUUGCGUGUCCGACCUUUUGAGGGACGACCCGCUGGCGCCGGCACGUCUUUCCUUUCCCUGCCUUCGCCGCUGGUCUCUGAAGCGUCCGUAUCCCCAUUUUGCAUGUUUCACUUGGGUGCUGUGUCUAGUUGCGCCGUGCCGCCCCCCCGGGAGGUGUGGAAAGGGGGGGAGUUCCCUCUACCGGUAGAAGGUGGAUGCCCUCAUGCCGGUGGACGGUAACACUAACUUCGUAGAACUCGGCACUGAGGACGAGGUCGCCAAGAAAUAUCGGGGGGGAGGUGGGGGCUUCCAGCAGGCGGGCGGCCACGGGUGAAGCUAUACCCCCUUACCCCACACAAGCAGACAUACAUACAUACAUACGUUCCCUACAUCCGCUGUUCUCAUGUCCCAGACAGGAUAGGGAGGGCAAUUCCCUCGGGCUUCCGAUUUCCCCGCCUUCCUUACGUGUAUGUGUGUGUGCGUAUGUGUGCGUAUGUGUGCGUGCGUGUGUGUGCCUGCGUGUGUAUGUGUGCGUAUGUGUGCGUGUGUGCCUGCGUGUGUAAUGUAUGUGUGUGUGCGUCCUUGUCUUCAGUAAUGGCCGGCGCCACCACUACAGGUUACAAAGCUCAUGUCAUGUCAGGUCACGUGUGGCGUCUAUGUAGAUGUGGACAUCAUCAUCAUCAUCAUCAUCGAUAUCAUUAUCAUCACCAUCAUAACCCUACCGUACUUCACAGUCGUACACUGCUCCGCUGUUACUGUACAGCCGCCCAUCGACCGACAAUCACCCUGCCAGGUAAGAUCGUACAUCUAUACGUACGCAAAACACCCAGUAAGAAUCCUGCACACCUACAUCAUCAUCCAUCAUUCAAACACCACCCCGGCAAUGUACACUCCGCAAAUUCACACGGCGCCUUCCCCCUCCCGUCCUUUCUCGGCCGCCACCCCCCUCCCCUCCCCUCGUCGGCGCACCGGCGACGCAGAGAUCUGCAAGGUAUACAUACGCCCUUCAAACGCGGCACCUUGAAGCGGGGACCGAAAAUGCUGCUGCUGCUGUUACUGCUAACCUUACAAACAGCUUCGCUCGACAGUACAGCCCGGGUGGGGGGAGGAGGAGGAGGGGGCAUCCCGGCAUGUUAAUCACCACAUGCGGGGCCCGCCCCACAUGCUCCCGGGACAGGGGGGGAUGAUGCGGGGGGGGAGUCCGGAGCGCUCGGAGGAAAUGUGUGUGGGCCGUACACACACAAUACACAAUACGACACAAGGAGGGCUACACGCGACGACUAUUCGUUACACGGCUAACGAACAACACCCCCCCCGCGAGGGGGGGAGGGAGGGGAAGGGAGGGUGAGCACCAAAAGAAGCGGGGAGGGAACAAAAUCCAGCUCCUUUUGACCGCCACCAUCACCACCACUAGAUAUGAUACCAUCGUAGGAAAUGUUAAAAGGCAAAAUUGUGCUUAAGGAAGUAAACAUACAUACGUAUAUACUUACGCACACACACAUGGACUGUGUGCCGCGCGCGGCAUAUCCAGACGCGACGCAUUCCCUCCCCCACACCCUCCUUUUCAAACCGAGAGUGUGGGGGCCAACAGAGGUGCCAACCACCGUUCCGUGACACUUAGGACGCGGAGAGCAAAUGGUCGUUGUUGCAGUUGUGGUGGUUGUGAUUGUGCGCAGGUGGAAAUCAUUCACAACUGUGGGUGCUCCGCU